CCGAAUCUUGCCUGGUCGAAGGACCGGCAGACCCACACCUGUGAACUGACCUACGUGCUUGGCAGCAGGGGCCCCGAGCUCCGGGCCGGCGGGUUGCGCAUCUCCGUGCGUUGGCCCGACGGCCAUGCUGCCGCGUUAACUUACACUUCUCGACUGACCAAAACCUCGUCCUCGGAACGAAAAACCAAA
rnacentral:misc_RNA from 1 species